rnacentral:rRNA from 1 species
GGAAUAUUGGACAAUGGGCGAAAGCCUGAUCCAGCCAUGCCGCGUGUGUGAAGAAGGUCUUCGGAUUGUAAAGCACUUUAAGUUGGGGGGAAGGGUUGUAGAUUAAUACUCUGCAAUUUUGACGUUACCGACAGAAUAAGCACCGGCUAACUCUGUGCCAGCCGCCGCGGUAAUACAGAGGGUGCAAGCGUUAAUCGGAAUUACUGGGCGUAAAGCGCGCGUAGGUGGUUUGUUAAGUUGGAUGUGAAAUCCCCGGGCUCAACCUGGGAACUGCAUUCAAAACUGACAAGCUAGAGUAUGGUAGAGGGUGGUGGAAUUUCCUGUGUAGCGGUGAAAUGCGUAGAUAUCGGAAGGAACACCAGUGGCGAAGGCGACUUCCUGGGCCAAUACUGACGCUGAGGUGCGAAAGCGUGGGGAGCAAAC